CUGAUUAGAGGAACGAAAAGAACAGGUAAAAGGAUUUGAAAUGACAGCCAGAGCAUUUAUUGCACCAGCCGGCGCGCAGGUACACGAAGCACAACCUUCGGUAUGGAAUCGACGCACCAUCUCUGUACACCUAUCCCUUGUCGCCACGUGUUACGCGAAAGGACACAUGCAAGAAUCGUGUGUCAGGAUUGAACCGUCACCAAGGCUGAACUGGGGGAGAAUUGAAACGACGCGACACUUGGAGAGCAGAACAAUAGCUCCCCCCAAGGGGAACCUUAGCGUGAGCUAGGGGGCAAAUGAAGGGGCUAAAUAUGAAAUGGGUCGGGUCUAAGCCUUGGGCCGGCCCAAUCCACUGAAGUCCAAAUCUAAGUGGGUUGGGUGAGUACAUGGGCAAGCCAGUUGAGCCCAACUUCAUGAUCAACAGUUCACCCAAGUCCUCAAGCACUUGGGCCGAACCCGCAGUGGAAAAGCUAGUUCAGCCAUGGUGCUGGGCUGGGCCGAGUUACGAAACUGAAUCUAUGGGCUGAACAGAUGACGGGCCGAGCCCAUACAAAGAUAUCUGAAUGGACCAGCUCAUCUCCAUAAAUGAUCCUGUAAAAGGCCGAGACAAGGCAUAAUGAUGCCGAGCUGAGGCACAUCGGUAUUGAGCUAAGGAAACCUCGCAGGGAAACGUGGAAGUUGUGAAUGUGUGCAUGUGCAAGUUGCCACCUCAGCUGGUCGCCUACACCUAGAAUCAUGGAAGUUGUUGAACCAAAGGAAUGUGGUUUGUUAUCAGCAUGACUACAAUGAGUAUAUGCAUUCAAUACAACUACCAAGUGGUCCCCCACUUGGAGCAAUGCUGAAAGGACACCUGGCAACAUUCAAGCUCCACGAAACCAUCUUGAGAAGCAAGUAAGGAACACUAUACAUACUCCAUAAACUUCACAUUGAAGGCAACUGAAUAGAGUAGAACUAUUCUAAUAACAUUGACAUACAAACUCAAUUAACUUCAUCUUUUCUCCGAUCACUAAUUCCCACACCGGAGGGGUUAUCUGGCCAACCCCGGCCGGACAGCUCUAACGGUGCUUCUUGUGGCAGAAAUCUCAGUCCCUGGAUGGUCCAACCGAGUGCGGAGCCCCGAUCCACUUUCAUCUAGUGCGGAAUCCGACAUUAACAGUAUUGCUCAUCAACGAAUUGCUGGAUGCCAAGGCCUUGAACUCUGGUGGUUCUGUGACUCUGGACAUACCAUGUGAUCUACCUAAUUCAGAGAAAAUGCAUGUCAAAUUUAGCAAGAUCAGUCCAAAAGAUGGAGCUAGAGCAUGUGAUUUAACUAAUCAAAGAAGCGAGCACAAUGAUGAUUAUAGUUAUAGAAGGUUAUCCAACAGGUCAUCAGAUAUGAGCACUGUUAAGUCCAUCAUCGGAUCCAGAAAUGCAUUGCUACUGAUUGCCAUAUUUUUCACAGCAAUAACUUUCCAAGUCCCAUUUCACUUCCUUGGCCCCAAAGAGGGCUACGUUCAUACCUACAUGACGGACAGCAUCCAAGUGAAUAAACAAUAUCCACUGUUUCCUUGUACGUUCCUGUUGUUCAAUUCCAUGGUGUUCAUUGCAUCAGUGAUCAUGACUCUAUUCCUACUGCAUGAAUUUCCUUUCAAGCCAUGGCCUCAAAUCUCAGUUUUGGCUCUGUUUGGUUCUUAUAUGUGCUCAAUAAAGGCAAUAUCGCCCAAUGGAGCCCGGGCUUUGCUCCUCAUAUCAAUUCCCUUUUCGUUAUUGGCAGCUGCUGGAAAACUUUAUGGCUUUGCAAGACACAAUUUUACGUGAGCACCCCCAGGUAUGUGUGAAAAAAAACCUAUAUCCAGUUUCUAGUCAAUAAUGUUUUGUGAAAACAAUCUAUCUUAUUUCGAGUUGAUUGUGCUCAUGUGUAAUUAUAUGGCUGUAUGGCUGGCUACACACAGUGGAAAGGUCUCUAUUUUAUAUUUAGUAAUGCACAAAAAACAAUUUAAUAUAUCACUAUGUCUGUGCUGAAAACUAUUUCUAAAUAAGAGUUACAAUUGAUUGUAAUAAAAGGAGUUAGAUGAAUUAGUGUGUUUUGUUCUGUUGUUUAUCCUAGAUAAUUUAAUAAUAUUUCCCUGCUCACCAAACAUUUUAAUAACAUUACUCUGCUCUUUCAAUCUUUU